rnacentral:rRNA from 1 species
UGGGGAAUAUUGCACAAUGGGCGCAAGCCUGAUGUAGCCAUGCCGCGUGUGUGAAGAAGGCCUUCGGGUUGUAAAGCACUUUCAGCGGGGAGGAAGGCGUUAAGGUUAAUAACCUUGGCGAUUGACGUUACCCGCAGAAGAAGCACCGGCUAACUCCGUGCCAGCAGCCGCGGUAAUACGGAGGGUGCAAGCGUUAAUCGGAAUUACUGGGCGUAAAGCGCACGCAGGCGGUCUGUCAAGUCGGAUGUGAAAUCCCCGGGCUCAACCUGGGAACUGCAUUCGAAACUGGCAGGCUAGAGUCUUGUAGAGGGGGGUAGAAUUCCAUGUGUAGCGGUGAAAUGCGUAGAGAUGUGGAGGAAUACCGGUGGCGAAGGCGGCCCCCUGGACAAAGACUGACGCUCAGGUGCGAAAGCGUGGGGAGCAAACAGG